CUUUUGGCUCCAAACCAAAAAAAAUUCUAAGUCUCUUUUUCCAAAUUUCCCUUUCGCUAAAAAUUUUCUAAGUCUCUUUCGUCACUCUUUUCGUCUUCCCCCUCACAUUUGUUACUCUUUCCCUCUCUCUUUCUCCAUUUGCCCAGAAAAUCUAUCCUCGAAAUCCCAUUUAUUUGUGAAACACAGAACAAAUCUCUUCACAAUUUUCCCAGCCAUAGUCCAGCUCCUCGUCCAGCUCAAGAUUGAUUUCAGACAGGCAAAAAACUAUCAGGUAGUAAUUGAUAUUGUCAUUUCCUUGUUUAUAUGUUAUUUGAGUGUUUGUUCAAUGAUGAACUAAUUAUCACACUUGUAUAUAAAAUUGGUGGUCGAGCUGUGGUGUUAUUUUUCUAACAUGGACAAGGCUUGGGUUUGGCUUCCAAGGGCUAGCCUUGAGUAUGGGGAAGGGGCUAGUAAUUUUGUCUAUUCAUCAACAAAGAGAUUGGGUGAUCCUGUUGACAUGUUAUGUCCCUGCAUUGAUUGUCGUAAUGUCUGCCAUCAACGGAUAAGCACAGUAUUAGAUCAUUUAGUGAUUAGAGGGAUGGAUCAGAAGUAUAAGAUGAAUACAUGUUAGAGUAAACAUGGAGACAUUAGGGAUCAGAAGACAGCUGAGGUUCAGACAUCUGAAUUUGAGGCUUAUGAGUUAGGACUGCAUUCUUUUCAAGUGAAGGAAAUAUGCAGUGUCAGGGAGACGAUGGAGAUCAGCGGGAUGAUCAUCAGGAUGAGGUUGAAAGUAAAGCUGAAUCUGAAUUUAGGGAGAAGUUGAAGGAUGCUGAAAGUCCACUCUACUCGAUCUAAACUUUAAUCAAAGGAGAUGAGUUUCAAUCAUGGCUCUCUACGACAUUAAAGUUAAAAGUGGUUUAUCAGAAAACUAUUUUGAUCAGUUCCUGAGUGUUGUUCACGACAUGCUACCUGUGGAUAACGUACUACCAAAAUCCACAUACGAGAUGAAGAAGUUCUUCAAGAUUUUUGGUUUUGGUUACGAUUGCAUUCACGCAUGCAAGAAUGAUUGCAUCCUUUAUCAGAAACAGCAUGCAGAUUUAGUAAGCUGCCCACGAUGUAGUGCUUCUAGAUGGGAGAAGGAUAAUCAGACUGGCGAGGAAAAGAUGGGGAUUCCAGCAAAGGUUCUUAGGUAUUUUCCAAUCAAAGAUAGAUUCAAGAGAAUGUUUAGAUCAAAAAAGAUUGCUAAUGAUUUGCGUUGGCAUUUUAACAAUGCUAGUGAAGAUGGUACAAUGCGACAUCCAGUUGACUCAUUGACUUGGUCUCAGGUGAAGGAUAAAUGGCCAUAGUUUUCAGCUGAACCAAGGAACCUUCGAAUUGGCCUUUCUACAGAUGGGAUGAAUCCUUUCGCGAUGCAGAACACCAAGUAUAGUACAUGGCCAGUGAUGUUAGUCAACUAUAAUAUGCCUCCAACUAUGUGUAUGAAGGCUGAGAAUAUCAUGCUGACAAUGCUGAUUCCUGGACCAACUGCACCAAGCAAUAACAUUGAUGUUUAUCUUGCACCUCUGAUAGAUGAUCUAAAUGAUUUGUGGGAAGAAGGUAUUGAGGUUUAUGACUCAUUCAUGAAGGAGACUUUCACACUUAGAGCUAUAUUACUGUGGAGUAUCAGUGACUAUCCAGCUUUAGGAACACUAUCUGGAUGUAAAGUGAAGGGGAAACAAGGUUGUAAUGUAUGUGGCAAGGACACACCACAUACAUGGUUGAAGCAUAGUCGAAAGUAUGUUUAUUUAGGCAACAUGAAGCGUCUCAGGCCUGGACAUCCUUAUAGAAGGAAAAAAGCAUGGUUUGACAAUACUAUCGAAGAUGGAACUGUGAACAGAAUACAAACAUGAUCUGACAUACUCAAGAAACUUAAGGACUUUAAGAAUGAUUUUGGAAGACCUUUGGAUAAGAAAGGUAAGAGAAGAAGAACCGAUUUAUGUGAUGAGGAUGCAAAUUCAGAAGAAGAAUAUGAAGAAGAUACAGAUCAAUGGCGGUGGAAGAAACGAUCAAUUUUCUUCCAGUUGGCUUAUUAGAAGGAUAUGUCUGUCCGUCACAACAUUGAUGUUAUGCAUGUGGAAAAGAACAUAUCUGAUGCAUUAUUGUCGACUCUUAUGCAAAGUGCCAAAUCAAAAGAUGGCUUAAAGGCACGAAAGGAUUUGGAAGAUAUGGGGAUCAGAACACACUUACACCCCGAGGUGCGGGGUAAAAAAACUUAUCUCCCUCCAGCACCUUAUUGGCUCUCAAAGAUCGAGAAAAAGAGAUUUUGCACAAGGUUAGCUAAAUUCAGAGGGCCGGAUGGCUACUGUGCAAAUAUCUCGAAUUGUGUAUCAGUUGAUCCUCCUGUUAUUGGUGGUUUGAAGUCGCAUUAUCAUCAUGUUCUUAUGCAAAAUCUACUUCCUGUGGCGUUGAGAGGUUUGUUGCCAAGACAACCAAGAAUAACAGUUACUUGCCUAUGCAACUACUUCAAUAGAUUAUGCCAACGUGUCAUUAAUCCAGAGAAGCUAAUUGCCUUGGAGGCUGAAGUUGUUGAAACAAUGUGUGGAUUGGAGCGAUUCUUUCCUCCUUCACUUUUUGAUAUUAUGUUCCACCUUCCCAUACAUCUAGCAAGGGAGGCACGUUUGGGAGGACCGGUACAUUUUAGAUAGAUGUAUCCAUUUGAAAGGUACAUGAAAACAUUGAAGGCAUAUGUUAAAAAUUAUGCAAGGCCAGAAGCAUGCAUGGCUGAGGGCUACUUGGCUGGUGAAUGCAUUGCUUUUUGCACAGAGUUCUUACAUAAUUCAUUACCAGAUCAAGAACCAGUCAACCGUAAUGAAGAUAUUGAGACAGAUGAGCGAGUUCUUGAAGGUCGACCACUAAACAAGGCUACAGAAGUUAUACUAACAGAGAGAGAAAGGGAGAUAGCACAUCAAUAUGUUUUAAUGAACAUGGCGAUGAUGGAUCCAUAUAUUGAUAUGCAUCUAGAAGAAUUGCAAGCUGUGGAUGUCCGAUGCCUAAAAAAUGAAACUCUGCUUUGGAAAUUACACAAUAAAAGGUUUGCCAAAUACCAACUAACUCAAAGGAUCAUUCGACUAAGCUUAGAUGGUUAGCAUUUGGACCUAGGCAUAUUGCUCAGACCUACAAGGGCUAUAUCAUAAACGGAAAUCGGUUUGACACAGAGGAUGUGAAGCGUAAGACUCAAAACAGUGGAGUAACAUAUGAAGCUUUCAGUAUGUGUAGAUCGAGUGCACGAGAUAAUAGACACCAAGCAGACAUAGUUUCAUACUAUGGGGUGAUAAAGGAGAUCAUUUUGCUGGACUACCACAUGUUCCAGAUUCCAAUCUUCAAGUGUAUUUGGGCCAACAAAGGGAAAGGUGUCAAAGAAGAAGAUGGAUUUACGCUUGUGAAUCUCCAUCUGAGCCAAUCAGCAUAUCUAAAAUAUCCAUACAUAUUGGCAUCGCAAGCCAAACAAGUUUUCUACUCCCGAGAAGAUGAGAUGAGUCAGUGGUAUGUUGUUAUGAGGGUGCCACCAAGAGGGUAUCACGAGUUAGAAACAGAAGAGGAGAUUGAUACACCAUUAUCAGUCCAGCCAAUUGAAGAAUUGGGAAAUGAUGAUGAGAAUUUUUGUGUUAGGGCUGAUUGUGAAGGGGUUUUAGUUAUGGAAUGAUGGAUAAAUGUCUGUUUAAUAAUUUUAAACAAGUUUCAUGUUGCAGGUGAUUCAAAAUGAAGACGGGUAAAGGUCAGACCAAAAACCGCCGUAGUAAGCGUCAACAAGGCCUUGAUGUGAGUCCUCUUAUUCCAGUGAUAGAUGCUGACAAUGAGAAGAAUGUGGAUGCCGUAGCUGAGGAAGUGAUAGCUGAUUUGUCUGGAGAUUUCAAUCAACAACUGGGUGCAGAUGAAUCAUCGCCUCAUGUAGCUGUCAAUGAAGAGAAUGUAGCUGUCAAUGAUGAGUUACCUACUGAUGAAUCAUCGCCUCAUGAUGCAGUGGACAAUGAGGAAGAAGUACAAACCCAACAGUCUGAUAACAAGAAAAGGAAAACAAGAGGACCAUCUAAGAUGCGCAAAUUGGCCAAACAUAUUGAGGAUAAGGUCGAUGUAGAAUUUACAGAACUGGGAGACCAUGUCGGUGAUGGAUCAGUCAAACUUUCUUCCUUUCUUGGUACUGUCGUGAGGGAGCAUGUACCAGUAACACUUGACGAUUGGAGGCACCUAGAUGACUUGACAAAACACGCACUAUGGGAGGAAAUUCAGGGGAGGUUCAAAGUGACAGAAGAUUGGCAGAAACAAGCACUGUUAAAGCAGAUGGGUGGUUUGUGGAGGUCCUCUAAAUCUAAGCUUUUACGCAAAGUCAGAGCUGCAAAGACUAAGUUAAAAGUACUUCAGUUAAAACCAAGUAACAUUCCAUCUGUUGCAGUUUGGAACAAUUGGGUGAAAAGUCAGACUAACAGCAAGUUUCAGAGGUAAGUGAGAGAUAUAGGCAAUUAAGGAGGGCUCAGAUACCCCACACCACAAGCCGCAAAGGAAUGACCCGUUUAGCUCAUCAUAUGAAAAAAAAUAGUUCGGACCCUUCGAAGGUGACUAGAAGCAAGGUUUGGGUAGCAGGUCACACACAUUCUGAUGGAAGACCUGUGAAACCAGAAUUUGCAGAGACGAUUAAAAAAAUAAAAUCAUUAGACUGCGAAAUGGACUCAACAUCCAAUACUAAUGUUAAAGAAGAUGCUGUUAGUCAAGUCUUAGGAAAAGACAAACCUGGAAGAAUCAGAGGAAUGGGCGGAGGGGCUACUUUCUCCAAGCUAGCCUUUAUGCAGAUUAGAGACUCACAUGUGCAAGAGCUUGAAGCCAAACAAGCUGAAUUGAUUACGAAGGUUGAAGACUUGCAUAAUGUAGUUCGUGACUUAGCUGGCAAAAAGAAUCAAUGUGAUAGUCAGUACUGUAAUUCUCAAAUGACUGACAAAAGCAAAGGAGUAAGGUGUCAGAUACUAGAUUGGGGUUCAACUGAUGAUGUCAUUGUUGGGGAAGGAGAAUUCUGUUCUGCUGAACCAACAUACAAGAUUGGUCGUAUAACACUUGGUCCUAACGCAGCGGCUGUUAUUGUGACUUACAUGGCCUAUUGAUAAGUUGAUAUUGGAGAAUGGUGACUCCGUAACUGAAAAUAAGAGUGCUACCUCCACGGAUACAUCAUCACAUAGAGUCCUCAUUCUUAAUUGGAGUACGGAUGAAGUUAUUGCAAAAGGUAUACUGGUUGCCUCUGAUCCAAAUGAAAAGUUGAACAAUAUAACACUAGGUCCAAAUGCUGUUGUUGUUAAGGUUGAUAUGGUGGUUAAAGGUGAUGCCUUUUUGUGGAGACCAACUACUGAUAUGUCAUUCAUGAGUGAUGCACUAAAUGCAAACAUCGUCUAGCCUAUUCAGAAGAUAGAAUUUAUAAACAUGACACCGUUAGAGGAAGCACCAAACAGAUCAGCACCUACGAGUCUAAGUAACACCUCCACAACCAGCAAAGUUGCAAAGCAGAUGUGUCUUUUGCUAGAUGUCCAAAACUCUGGUAGCAUAGUUCCAGUUGCAGAAGGGCGAGUUUGUUCGACCAAUCCAGCAGAUGUAGUCCAUUUCGUCCCUUUAGGUCCAAAUGCUAGCAAGGUCUGGGUAGAAAUUUCAAAGAUUGGAGAUGCAAAAGUGUGGAGACCAAAUUCAGAAAUCCAAUUCAUUUUUAACGCAAUAGGCACUACUAUAGCUUGGCCUACUGAUAGACUCAUAUUGCUUUGAACAUGAUCAUGAACUUUUACAUAUAUUCUUUGUCUUUACUUGCUUUGAACUUGGUAUAUUGUACUAUUUCGGAUGUUUAUGGCAAUAAUAAUUUAGCUACAUUCAUUGUCAA